UACAGAGGUCUCAAGCGUUGUUCGGAUUUAUUGGGCGUAAAGGGUGCGUAGGUGGCGCCGUAAGUCGGGUGUGAAAUUUCGGAGCUUAACUCCGAAACUGCAUUCGAUACUGCGGUGCUUGAGGACUGGAGAGGAGACUGGAAUUCAUGGUGUAGCAGUGAAAUGCGUAGAGAUCAGGAGGAACACCGGUGGCGAAGGCAGGUCUCUGGGCCACUACUGACGCUGAGGAGCGAAAGCAUGGGUAGCGAACAGG
rnacentral:rRNA from 1 species